ensembl:lncRNA
CACAGUUUUACCUCACUCUGAUUUUUGCACAUUUGGCUUCACAUGCCAUCAGGGUUCUUUUUUCUGACAGGUCUAAGCAAGACGACACCAACUGUGUAUAACCCACGCACACAAGUCUGUUGUGAUGGAUGUGUAUCUGCGUGGAAGCCUUGGAUAGAUCAAUGCUGUGGAGAGACGCCGUAUGGCUCGGCACAACGUGGAGUUCUGUGUUGUAAUAAGAGCUUGUACGAGGGCAGAGACGAUGGAGAGGAAUGUUCAGAGAUGGGUAUUCCUUACAACCCGGCUAAAGGGACCAUGUGUUGUUCUCACUUUCAUGGCAGCCCAGGACAACACUGCUGUGGGACAGAAAUUUACCAGCCUCAUGCUGAGAUCUGCUGCAAUGGACACAGGCAUCUCAAAUCAGAAAACAUUUACUGCUGUGGGGUCAAAGCCUACAACAUUAAAGACCCACAGAUGAAGUGCUGUGCAGGAACACUGUACAAUCUGACAUCGUUAGACAAGCAUGGAGGGGAUGCACAAUGCUGUGGAUCCAUUCUGCAAAGGCCACAGGACAUUUGCUGCUCAAGUGAGGACAAAGAGGUGCUGUACUCUGCCAAGACAGGGUUUAGCUGCUGUGGUCACCUCUACUAUAACACCAGCCUGUGGUCAUGCUGUGCUGGGAGGCUGAGAUCAAUCCAUGAAGCAGGACAGGAUCAGAGAAAGAUGAUAAAAGAAUCCAGAGUUCUAUCUGUGAAUAAUUUGAAUAAAGCUAAUCUUUGCAGAGUGUACAUUGGGGCUGUGGAAAGUGUCUCUCUGCAGAGCGUUGUGUUCAGGAAUGUUUUGAAGGUCUAUGGGAUGCAGGCCAAAGUGAAAGCUCUGCCUUUGCCCUACGUCCUGGAAACAAAUGAUCGCUGUAGCUAUCCUAAACUGAUUCCUGGGAAGACCUACUUCUUUAACAAAGACAAUAUUUUCACUGGUUUCAUCGAUGAUUCUUUUCUGCAGCCACUCCAUUUCAUUAUUUCCAAGUGUUCACCUAGGAUCACCACUCACCGAAAAUUAAUCAGUAUGCCUUUUGCAUACUGAGCACUCACACUAAAGCUGAGUGUAUGCUGACACCAGCCCAGCAGCUAGACCCUGAACUUCAAAAUGUAACAAAGGCAAUAAUGAACAGAUAGGCUGGUAGCAUUAUAACCUUCACUUCUAAAUGUACAUGUUUCUAAAACAGAUAUAUUGUGGGGAUUACUUUGUCUUUGAGCUGGUUUUAAAUUUUGCUCUCUGUAGCUUAAGAUUCAAAUCUAAUUUUCAAUAUAAGGACUGUUUUUAAUACUUUAUGGAAUCCUUAAAAUGUCAAUCCUUUCAGGACUGUGUGAACUCUUUGGGACUUGUAUAUUGGACAAUUGAUAUGCAUGCAGCUUUAUGGCCAAAUGAAGCCUGUUUCCUCAUUGUUGCAAACAAAGCAGAUAAAUGAUCUUGAGUUUAUUCUAUGUGUUGAAUGUGGCUUUGAUAGAUUUACAGUGGAGCUCUCAAUGUAAAUCUAUCAAACAGUGAACUUUCUUUUUAAUAUUCUGCUUUUUAAGCAGCCUAUUAUUCUGUGUUAUUCUGUGGUGCAUAAAGUAGAUAUUUGAAGCAAUAUUGAUGCAACAGAGUUCAGUGGGGAGUCAAUCUUUCAUUGUGUGAAUUUAUAGAUGAAAAUUAUAUCUGUAAAAUGAAAAUUAAACCAGCUUCAUCUCAAAGAAUAAAUGAAUUAACUUCCUAUCGUGUUCACUAUCUUCUAUAUUUAUUACUGACUGUAGUCACUUCAUGAUAUAACCACACUUUGACUAGUUGACACAGAAGAUAAAGUUAACCUUUCCCAAGACCAGACAUUGGCUAUAUCAUAUGACUCAUUAAACUCAUUAAGUUAGGACAUUAUAAAGGAUAACUAUUAAAGGUGCCACUAAAAGUCAAAAGAUAGCCAUAUGUUGUAACUUUAUUGCAGUUUUUGUUUGAUAACAGCAUUUUGAUUAUUUUGUAAGUGAUUUAAGUGUUAGUCACAUGUUUAGUGAGG